GAUGAAGAACGUAGUGAAAUGCGAUACGUAAUGUGAAUUGCAAAUUCAGUGAAUCAUCGAAUCUUUGAACGCACAUUGCGCCCUUUGGCAUUCCGAAGGGCAUGCCUGUUCGAGCGUCAUUAUCACCCCUCAAGCCCCCCUGGCUUGGUGUUGGACGGUUUUGGUGGGACGUGCAGCCUCUCACCCCUCCUAAAGACAAUGACGGCGGCGUCGUUGGAACCCCCGGUACACUGAGCUUCUUAACUGAGCACGUACUGGAUGCGGGUACGCGAUGCACGGUCUGCCUCCCCUUUAGGGAGAACUUUUUCUUAAGGUUGACCUCGGAUCAGGUAGGAAUACCCGCUGAACUUAAGCAUAUCAAUAAGCGGAGGA
rnacentral:misc_RNA from 1 species